ACCUGGCUGGCUCAGCUGAUAGAGUGUAUGACUCUUGAUCCCGAGGUUGUGAGUUCGAGCCCCACGUUGGGUA
rnacentral:tRNA from 1 species